rnacentral:rRNA from 1 species
UACGGAAGGCAGCAGUGGGGAAUAUUGCACAAUGGGCGAAAGCCUGAUGCAGCUAUGCCGCGUGUAUGAAGAAGGCCUUAGGGUUGUAAAGUACUUUCAUCGGGGAGGAAAAAACAAAACUAAUAAUUUUAUUUCUUGACGUUACCCGAAAAAGAAGCACCGGCUAACUCCGUGCCAGCAGCCGCGGUAAUACGGAGGGUGCUAGCGUUAAUCAGAAUUACUGGGCGUAAAGAGCACGUAGGUGGUUUUUUAAGUCAGAUGUGAAAUCCCUGGGCUUAACCUAGGAACUGCAUUUUUGAAACUGAAAUACUAGAGUAUCGUAGAGGGAGGUAGAAUUCUAGGUGUAGCGGUGAAAUGCGUAGAUAUCUGGAGGAAUACCUGUGGCGAAAGCGGCCUCCUAAACGAAUACUGACACUGAGGUGCGAAAGCGUGGGGAGCAAACAGGGAUUAGAUACC